GUAAAUUCUUUGAGGUCAGGGACUAUUUCAUCCUUAUCUAUAUAUCUACAUCAUUUCAUAUAGUGCCAAUACAGCAUCUGGCAUAACGUCCAAUUUACAGGAAAAUGUUAGUUGUCAUACUUUGUAGAUGUGGAAGUAAAAAGUUGAAAAGUUUGGGCAAUAUGCCUAGGUUUAUAAAAUUAACAUGUCUUCUUACUCUUGGUUGGACUGAAUAAAAGAGUUAUUAUGAUGCAAUGAAAGGAUUAUAAGACUUCCAUUCUAAUCUUAACUUUGUUACUUAACACCAGUAGGACUUUGGACAAGAGAUUUUGCCUUCCUCAAUUUCAGCCUCUUAAUCUAAAAGAGAAUAUGAGAGCAUAUGCCCUUGCUUGAGGAUGUUUCAAGUGAUACUUUCAGCUAUCCAAGAGCCUUCCAGACUCCAGUCACAGGAGAGAAGCGUUUUCAUCCCAUCCAUUCAUAGAUUUGCCUCCUGAAACUAUACCAUCAGAUUAUAAGCCAUUCAAACCUCAAUUCACACUGAGAUGCCUGAUGUGUAAAUUUUCUUCUCUGCUCCGGUCCUUCAUCAGGAAAGCCAGAAAAUCUGGUAUUUCAAUUAAUAUCCAUUUUUCCUUCUGAAGGGUAAUACUACAACUUGCU
rnacentral:lncRNA from 1 species